AAACAACACAUUUCAUUGUUGUUUUGAAUUGAAAUUUUUCUGAUUUUGUGAAAUGUAAAAUGUGCGCUAUAAAAUUUGAUAUGCAUUUGCUUGAAGGUUAAGCUUGGAUGAGCAUAAUAUUCAUACACACGACGAUAUAUAUACACGAUAUAUAUAUGCUUGGUGGAUGUCUGUCAAAAGCGGUGUGAGGGUGUGGGUGAGGAGAACUAAGGGAAGGCAAAGACAGAGGAGGUGAAUAAGCACAGCUUAAGCGAGCUCGAUUUCAAUGAGAACUAAGUAUAUUCAGGUUGAGCGAUUGUCUUUAUCAACAAAGUAUCUGAGCAGUUUUAGUAAUUUUCCCAAGUAAACCUCGCAUAAUGAA